UACAGAGGUCUCAAGCGUUGUUCGGAUUCAUUGGGCGUAAAGGGUGCGUAGGCGGCGCGGUAAGUCGGGUGUGAAAUCUCGGAGCUUAACUCCGAAACUGCAUUCGAUACUGCCGUGCUUGAGGACUGGAGAGGAGACUGGAAUUUACGGUGUAGCGGUGAAAUGCGUAGAUAUCGUAAGGAAGACCAGUGGCGAAAGCGGCUUCCUGGUCCGACACCGACGUUCAGGCACGAAAGCGUGGGGAGCAAACAGG
rnacentral:rRNA from 1 species